rnacentral:lncRNA from 1 species
UUUAAUAAAUAAUCCUAUUAAUUUUUAUAAUUAUAAAAAUAAUUUUUUAAAAAAAAUAAUUAUAAAAAUAGACCUCUAAAUGCGGUGAAUGAUUUACCGCAUUCAUAACUUCUCAUUAGGAGUAGAAAAAAAAUAAAAGCGACGACCUAUUCACCGCUUUUACUAUCGUAAAAAUAUAAAAAAAAAUGAGAAAAAAAAAUAAAGCGGUGAAUAAUUCAUAGCUUUUAAAAGCGGUUAAUCAUUCACCGUUUUUAUAAAAUCAUAUUUAUAAAUAAAAAUUUAACAGAUCUAUUUUUAAAAUAAAAUUUUAGAAAAAAGCUAUUGCACUAAAAAAUCCCU